rnacentral:rRNA from 1 species
UUGAACGCUGGCGGCAGGCCUAACACAUGCAAGUCGAGCGGUAGAGAGAAGCUUGCUUCUCUUGAGAGCGGCGGACGGGUGAGUAAUGCCUAGGAAUCUGCCUGGUAGUGGGGGAUAACGUUCGGAAACGGACGCUAAUACCGCAUACGUCCUACGGGAGAAAGCAGGGGACCUUCGGGCCUUGCGCUAUCAGAUGAGCCUAGGUCGGAUUAGCUAGUUGGUGGGGUAAUGGCUCACCAAGGCGACGAUCCGUAACUGGUCUGAGAGGAUGAUCAGUCACACUGGAACUGAGACACGGUCCAGACUCCUACGGGAGGCAGCAGUGGGGAAUAUUGGACAAUGGGCGAAAGCCUGAUCCAGCCAUGCCGCGUGUGUGAAGAAGGUCUUCGGAUUGUAAAGCACUUUAAGUUGGGAGGAAGGGUUGUAGAUUAAUACUCUGCAAUUUUGACGUUACCGACAGAAUAAGCACCGGCUAACUCUGUG